rnacentral:rRNA from 1 species
UUCCCUACGAGGCAGCAGUGGGGAAUAUUGCACAAUGGGCGCAAGCCUGAUGCAGCGACGCCGCGUGAGGGAUGACGGCCUUCGGGUUGUAAACCUCUUUCAGUAGGGAAGAAGCGAAAGUGACGGUACCUGCAGAAGAAGCGCCGGCUAACUACGUGCCAGCAGCCGCGGUAAUACGUAGGGCGCAAGCGUUAUCCGGAAUUAUUGGGCGUAAAGAGCUCGUAGGCGGUUUGUCGCGUCUGCUGUGAAAGACCGGGGCUCAACUCCGGUUCUGCAGUGGGUACGGGCAGACUAGAGUGCAGUAGGGGAGACUGGAAUUCCUGGUGUAGCGGUGAAAUGCGCAGAUAUCAGGAGGAACACCGAUGGCGAAGGCAGGUCUCUGGGCUGUAACUGACGCUGAGGAGCGAAAGCAUGGGGAGCGAACAGGAUUAGAUACCCUGGUAGUCCAUGCCGUAAACGUUGGGCACUAGGUGUGGGGGACAUUCCACGUUUUCCGCGCCGUAGCUAACGCAUUAAGUGCCCCGCCUGGGAGUACGC